rnacentral:snoRNA from 1 species
UGGAAAUGAUGAAGCAGAGAUACUUGGGUGUUGAAUGCUGUAUGACUGGUAAUUUUUAGUAUGUAUGUUGAGUAAUUCUUCUAGUUUAAUAUUUUAUAUUUACUUAAUAGAGAGUAUGGCAUAUGUGUGUGUGGUGUGCGCGCGCAUGCUUGUGGCUAUGGAAAGGGGGCACUGAAUGGUGGUGCUGAUAUUGGAGUGCAUCUGAGGCUGUUGUAGAAAUAACAUGGGUUGUUGAUUACAACAUUGCCGAUGAUUAGAACCCAAGAACAGCUCACCUAAGUAGCCUGGCACCCUAAAAUCUCUAACAGGUUCAUUAAAUGUGUUCCUGUGAUCUGAUCCAA